rnacentral:lncRNA from 1 species
CAUAAUCAAGACGACAUACAAUAGUAAACAACAUCCAUUACUUGAAAACAACAAUGGUAGGAACAAAACAAGAUAGUGACCAUGCAUCCACUUAACCCAAUUAAUACUUGCAUGUAUAAAUACACCUUUAUAAAGCAUGUGGACAUCAUCAUCCCAAUAGAAAAUUAUCUUCCUUGUAUGAGCACAACAAUAUUCAUGUUUAGAUGACGUAGGGAAUGAUAUGUGUCUCUCCAAUUUAGCUCUAUCAAUAAAGUACUCCACUGGGCUUGUCAAAGACGUCAUAAGCUCCAUAAAAUAUGUAUCAAGUUUAACACUUUUAUGAUAUAGCCAAG